rnacentral:rRNA from 1 species
UACGAAGGGGGCUAGCGUUGCUCGGAAUCACUGGGCGUAAAGCGCACGUAGGCGGCUUUUUAAGUCAGGGGUGAAAUCCCGGAGCUCAACUCCGGAACUGCCUUUGAUACUGGGGAUCUUGAGUCCGGAAGAGGUGAGUGGAACUCCGAGUGUAGAGGUGAAAUUCGUAGAUAUUCGGAAGAACACCAGUGGCGAAGGCGGCUCACUGGUCCGGUACUGACGCUGAGGUGCGAAAGCGUGGGGAGCAAACAGG